rnacentral:lncRNA from 1 species
GCCUGACAUAGAAGAUGUGUUCAAAAAGUCAAGUGAAUGAAUUUAAAAAAUUUUUUUUACUUGGAUUUGGUUGAAGAGGCGAUUGCAGUCACUUGCGUCAGGCAAUCUCGAUUGUGCCUCCUUGAAAAACACUUUCGCUUCCCCUCCUACGACCAAUGACUCACUCCUGGGGCAGAUAACACAGUUGUGAGGUGCAGAAUUUCACUUUCUCAAAUCUUUUCAAAAUCUGUUUUUCUUUUUUUAAAAAAUAUUCUCCUUCAAAAACAAGAGCCCAAAGAGAUUUUUGGAAUCUCUGGACUCAGUGUUAACUGACAGAAUACUAAAGAUGAUUGGAACUUCAUCUCUGCAGAACAUCCAAAAGAGAAUGGGCGGGAGAGUCACAGAGCUAGGCAUUCGCCCUGGCUCCACUCAAGGCUCAUAGGCCUUAGUGCCAUCUUCUCACUCAACUUCCACGGCACCUCGAUGUUUCCUGGAAGCUGAAAAACUGGAAAUGAACCCAGGAGGACACUAAAGAGGGACACAGCACACCAAGCAGUGGAACCAGUGGGACGCUGUGCAGUUUGAGAGGGCCUCCCCAGCCUCUCUAGGGAGAGGUUAAAACCUCAUUGGCGCAAGCCAAAGUUACCUCUGCUGCAGUCGGUUCAUGUCUACUCGUGUUCAGCAAGCAUGCUAUAAGGUGGUGCACAAGGCCUAUUUGCUGAGGGACAUCGAAGAGAAGGGUGUAGGCGAACCAGGAAGGUGGAGAUGUCAUCCUCCAGCCCCAUCUUUCUCCAGUCCCCAGUGAGCUGCACAACAUAAAGGUUUUAACUUCUCUGAAGAGAGGAAGGUGCAGAAGAACAUACACCAAGUCAGACUAACACUACUUGCUGACUUGCCUAAUGAGACAUUCUACCUGACAAAUAGCUCUGCUUUUUCCCCAGGGGAAAAAAAAAUCCAUCUCGCCAAAUCAAAGGACACAGUGCCUUCUCCCCCAGCAGACAGCUGACAUGCUGGAAACUCUUCUAGGUGACCACCAAUGGUAGCACAGACCUGGGCAGUGAAUCUGUGACACAGAGGUAGAUCUGCCCAGGGCCCCCAGCCCAGGUGAGGUCACAUGUUUAGGCAAGGCUCAGUUCUGUCUCAGUGACACCAAAAGCCCAGGGAGCCUCAGCUCUGCCCUGUCUUCAGAAAGAUUGUUCAGGUAACAAUAUGGUACACAUGUACACUACUGUAGUACUUUGAAAGAAAAUGUCCCUCAAGGGCACUGGCACUAUUAGGAGGCAUAGUUUUGUUGGAGUAGGUAUCACCUUGUUGGAGGUCUCCUUUGCUCAAGAUAUGUGACACAGUUCACUUUCUGUUGCCUAUGGAUGGAGAUGUAGAACUCUCAGCUCCUUCUCCAACACCAUGUCUGCCUGUACGCUGCCAUGUCCUGCCAUGAUGAUAAUGGACUAAAUCUCUGAAACUACAAGCCACCUCAAUUCAAUGUUUUUCUAUGUCAGAGGUGCUGUGGUCAUGGUGUCUCUUCAAACAAUAGAAACCCUAACUAAGAAACAACCUAACCACAUACUGCAAUGUAUACUUGCAUACACACCUAUACAUAUGUACACAGUCAUGACAGCUAUUCCUAAGCAAAGCCAUUCUACAGUGAACUGUGAGUGGAUCCUGGCUAAAUAAGCUCAGAAAUGUUCUUGGUACAAGCAGAGCAUUUAAAUAUAUAGAGUGUUAGAUGAUAACUCCAGAAAUCGAAAUUAAUCUGUUACGUGUGGGGGAGGCACAAUAUAAAUAGGAAAGAGGCUUAGUUGAAAGAUAUAACUUAGGUAACUUAGGAUGUGUAGAAAUUAAUUUCAAACAGUUUAACAAGAUAUCUACAUAUCUAUCUACAGAUAUGUAGAUAGAUAAAUGAAAGGUAGAUAGAUGAUUGAGAUGGAUGGAUAGAUAGACAGCAGAUAAACAGAUACAUAUAAUAGACGCGCAAGUGAUAGAAAGUACAAAUAUAGAAGGAGGUUUAUGAUUGUUAGAUCAAAAUCAAGCCUUUAGUAGCCUAUUCUUUUAAUUCUUCUUUAUAUUUGAUUUUUUAAAAAAAUAAGGAAUAGAAAUGAGGACUGGAGAGGCUCGGGGUUAAAAGUGCUUACUCCUCUUGCAGAGGACCAGGGGUCAGUUCCAAGCAUCCACAUCAGGUGGCCUACAGCUGCCUAUAACUCCAGUUUCAAUGGAUUUGAUACCUUCUUGACUCCUAGAGGUACUUGGAAGCACAUGGUGCACAUAGAUUCACAAAGGCGCACACAUACGCACAUAUAAAUAAAACCUUUUAAAACUUGGAGAAAAAUAAAUUCUUAAAAAGAAAAAAGAAAUAGGAGUGAACAGAAAAAUGAAGAAUAAUUAGUUACAAAAUACUGAAUACACUGUUCAUUCCCAUAAUAUGCAAUUAAAUCAUGAUCGUUUAUUUAUUUAUUUUUGGAUUUUCCAAGGCAGGGUUUCUCUGUGGCUUUGGAGGCUGUCCUAGAACUAGCUCUUGUAGACCAGGCUGGUCUUGAACUCACAGAGAUCCGCCUGCCUCUGCCUCCCAAGUGCUGGGAUUAAAGGAUUGCGCCACCACCGCCCGGAAUAAGUCAUAAUCAUGAUUGGGGAUUGUGAAGAGACAGAAGGGAGAGAUGUGCAGAUGAAGAGGCAUUAGUGGAGCCACAGGAUGACUUAAUGAAGAACACAGAAGGACUUCACCCUGUUCAGCUAGCUGUCCUCCAUAUCCUCAUUCAGGCUUUCCCAAUGACCCACUGAAUGAAGGGUGUUAUUCGGCUUCUGUUUGUGUAAAGACAGCUUACCUAAAGCAAUUGAAGUUAGUGACCCAAAGUCACAAGACAUGUAACAGACAGAACCUGGGUCAAAGCCGGUCUUCUGGUAACAAGCGUUGGGUUCUUUUCUGGGUAUCAUGAGUCUUCACAAGAGUUCUCAUAGUAGCAGACCUUGAGACAGGGGUUCAAAUACAAUAAGAAUUUCUGGGGAGGCUUAGGGACCAACACUGGGGAAACAAGAAGCUCCCCCAACCCAGGAUGUAGCCCCCCCAGGAGCAUGCAGUGAACUGGCUCCUUCAAUGGACAACUAAAGCAUAGUCCCCUGGGAAACAGCAUGAAGUUCAUGCCUCAUAAUCAUCCCACCCAAAGGGCCAGGGAGCUGGGAUAUUUAUGCUCCAAUUACUGAGAACCAUUGAUUGAAUUGAACCAUUGGCGGCUGCUCCCAGGAGCCUUCAUCUCCCUGCACUUUCCCACUGCAGCAGUUCGAGAGGAGGAAAGUCCUCAGACUCAGGGACAUGAAUUUCAGGUUGACCCUAGGUACCCUGGUUCCGUGAGGUCUGACUGAUGUGACUAGCAUUCUAACAAAAGUGAUGCUGGUACCCACCUCCAAUUCUUACUAGCCAAGUGCAAGAAACAAAGACCAUCUCAGACUCCAAAACUACCAGGGACAAUGAGGGAAGACAUCUAGGCACCUUUUGAGGCAUGCACCCCUCUGUGCAGGUGGGACACAUCUGUGGGUCCCAUUCUCAGAACAGCAGUCACAGACCCUGACCCAAAGAGCAGAAAGACAUAGACCUCUAUGUGUGUUCCAUCUUACUGGAUUUGAACUUUGAGCUGCAUAAGGUUAAGAAUAAACCAUUCUGAGAAAUUCAAUAGCUGUUUACCAGUGUGAAAAACACAUGAAUGAUAUUCCUCAUACAUCCAGGUAGCCCGAUGAUGGCACUCAGGGUCUGAAAGCAUCCUGGAUGUUGGUAGCAGCCUGCAGUGAGAAUGGGACCCAGUGGUGUGAUCCAGCAUCCCUCUCCUCUCUCAUUAUUCAUGCUGCCUGCUGUGCUGCGAAGCAUCAGCCGGAUCCAGCAGAAAAUAGUUUACAAAUGGGAAAAUACCAGGCAACAGCGAUUAUUUAAAAUCUGUUUUUAAAAUCUUACAGCCAUUAGAUCCCCAGUAGCACAACUGAAAAUAUUUCGCCCACAAGUCUGCGGCCACCAAUAAAUCAUGCUACUGUCAUUUUUCCAUGUUUCCUUCCAGGGAAAGACAAGACUCUGGGGGAAGAAAACAGUAAGAUAACACAUGUUAGAAAGGGAUAGAGUGAAACAAGCUGCCCAAAGGAGAUGGAUAUUCAGAUAUUUUGGAGAGGAACUGGCCAGCCUUGGAAUUUUAGUGAAAGAAAGUCUUAAAGGCAGACCUUGGCUGCUCUGGUCAGUGCCAACUCAGGAAGAAAGGGGUUUUAGUCAGUGGCUUUUUGAAUGUUUCCAGCUCUGCUUGGCAAGAUCACAGUAUCUUAGUGCAAUGCUAUUAGACACAUAACUUCUCUAGCUUCUUUGUUCAGCUUCCAUGUUCACCAGCAACAUUAUGACUCCUAGUAGCUCUGCAGACACAAAGAUAACAUUACAAUCCCUCACUGUGUCUAAUGUCCACUAAAACAGGUCUCAAGAGAAACCAGGAAUGACUCUCUCUCUCUCUCUCUCUCUCUCUCUCUCUCUCUCUCUCUCUCUCUCUGUGUGUGUGUGUGUGUGUGUGUGUGUGUGUGUAUGUGUGUGUGUGUGUGUGUGU